GUGUCAGCAGCCGCGGUAAUACGUAGGGCGCAAGCGUUGUCCGGAAUUAUUGGGCGUAAAGAGCUCGUAGGCGAUUUGUCACAUCUACUGUGAAAUCCCAACGCUUAACGUUGGGCGUGCAGUGGGUACGGGCAGACUAGAGUGCGGUAGGGGAGAUUGGAAUUCCUGGUGUAGCGGUGGAAUGCGCAGAUAUCAGGAGGAACACCGAUGGCGAAGGCAGAUCUCUGGGCCGUAACUGACGCUGAGGAGCGAAAGCAUGGGGAACGAACAGGAUUAGAUACCCUGGUAGUCCAUGCCGUAAACGUUGGGAACUAGAUGUAGGGUCCAUUCCACGGAUUCUGUGUCGCAGCUAACGCAUUAAGUUCCCCGCCUGGGGAGUACGGCCGCAAGGCUAAA
rnacentral:rRNA from 1 species